rnacentral:rRNA from 1 species
UGGCGGACGGGUGAGUAACGCGUGGGUAACCUGCCCUGUACUGGGGGACAACGGUUAGAAAUGACUGCUAAUACCGCAUAAGCGCACAGGACCGCAUGGUCCGGUGUGAAAAACUCCGGUGGUACAGGAUGGACCCGCGUCUGAUUAGGUAGUUGGCGGGGUAACGGCCCACCAAGCCGACGAUCAGUAGCCGACCUGAGAGGGUGACCGGCCACAUUGGGACUGAGACACGGCCCAAACUCCUACGGAAGGCAGCAG